rnacentral:rRNA from 1 species
AUACGGAGGGUGCAAGCGUUACUCGGAAUCACUGGGCGUAAAGCGCGCGCAGGCGGGCUGAUAAGUUGGAUGUGAAAGCCUACGGCUCAACCGUAGAACUGCAUCCAAAACUGUCAGUCUAGAGUCUGGGAGGGGAAGAUGGAAUUAGUUGUGUAGGGGUAAAAUCCGUAGAGAUAACUAGGAAUACCAAAAGCGAAGGCGAUCUUCUGGAACAGUACUGACGCUGAGGCGCGAAAGCGGGGGGAGCAAACAGGAUUAGAAACCCUAGUAGUCC